AAAUCGGGUGGUAAGCUCCAUCCAAGGCUAAAUACCGGGACGAGUCCGAUAGUCGACAAGUACCGUGAGGGAAAGUUGAAAAGAACUUUGGAGAGAGAGUUCAAGAGAACGUGAAACCGCCCAGGGGUAAACGGGUGGGACCGUUCACCGCGAUCGCGGGGGGACUCAGUCCGGUGCUGCACAAGUUGCCCAAACUCGAUUUGUGUGCGGCGGCGGGGAUUGGUCUUCGGGUCUUUUUCUCGUCGUCGUUCUCGAGGCCGGGUGGACGUCGAUCUUCGGAUAUUCUUUUGCGCUCGUGUCGCUGACGGAGGGGGUHKGGGUCGGAUUCCGGUUCGAUCCUCGCYUCUUCUCGCUCGGCAUUAAUGGCGCGGGCGCUUCGGUACGACGUUUAACCUUAUCCUUCACCCGGUCGGCUCCGGACGCACUUCCCCUCCGGUCCGUCGUCGCGACCCGUUCCCGGCGUGCAGGUCGACGCGCGGUGUCUCGUAGGCGGAAGUCGAACUUUAAACUCYCGUUCCUCGCGGUUCGGGAGUCCUCUUCUGUCGGGCCCGCGACCGUACUGCCCAUUUCUGCCGGGGACGGAGGAAACCAACGCGUGAUCCUWUACACGUGGCGAGCCGGUUUUUUCUCGYCGGACGUCUCGCGCGAAACAUACCUUCGCCCCACCGUCUCGGGCGCGCGCGGGAAAUAGUGCGAGUUCUCGAAACCGGCGCGGCCGCGUCGAUUCGCACCUCGCUGGCUUGACCUUGUCCUCGGCUCCGGCCUUGGGCYCGGGUUCGGCCGGCGUCGUUGCUCGGCGCCGCUUUACUCUGCCGCCCGCCACCUCGGGUCAGCGACGUGCAUCGGCAACCCACCCGACCCGUCUUGAAACACGGACCGAGGAGUCCUGGCCGUUCGCGAGUCGUAGGGGCCCCCCUGACUAACCCCGGAGGCGUAGCGAAAGCGAGAGAGCGUGUUGGAGGGCACCGGUCCGGARAAGUGUCUCGGCGAAGUCGUUYGCGGAGGGGGAUCGUCGGGGUUCGCUCCUUCCCCCCCUUUUUGCGGGCUUCCGAGCCGAGCCCGAUCCUGCCGGCGCGGCGAGUCCUGUUACUUUCCGUCGUCCGCCCCGCGUYCGUUGUCAUCGCCGUCGUCGUCGGAUUUUCCCUCUCGCGAGGGAGAUGAUGUUUGUGGCGGCGGCGGACGGGCGUGCGGGUUUGUGYACGGUGGCGUCACCUUCCUCCUUCCGCCCAACGGUGAGAUCCCGCGGCUUGAACCAGCACACUUUUGUUCGUCGAGUUUAGGCACUGCACGCGGGCGCAUCACCCCCGGGUCGGAUUWUUACCGAGUACGACUCGGCCGACUCAGGCGUAGCGAGCGGCCAGGGACCCGAAAGAUGGCGAUCCACGCCCGGUCGGGAUGAAGCCAGAGGAAACUCUGGUGGAAGUCCGAAGCGCCUCUGACGUGCAAAUCGAUCGUCGGAACCGGGUGUAGGGGCGAAAGACCAAUCGAGCCGUCUAGUAGCUGGUUCCCUCCGAAGUUUCCCUCAGGAUAGCUGGCGCUCGAUCGUCGCAAUUCCAUCCGGUAAAGCGAACGAUUGGAGGCCCCGGGGCCGUUCACGGCCUCGACCUACUCUCGAACUCGGAACGGGUGGAACGGGUCGACUCUCCCGAAUAACUCACGGAGCCGAUCCCCUUCUCGGCCUYCGCUCGCCGUUUCGGCGGUUGGGUGGCGGUCGGGGAACCUCGAAUGCGAGUGCCAAGUGGGCCACUUUUGGUAAGCAGAACUGGCGCUGUGGGAUGAACCAAACGUCCGGCUAAGGUGCCUAACGCGACGCCCAUGAGAUCCCCGAAAGGGUGUCGGUCGAUAUAGACAGCAGGACGGUGGCCACGGAAGUCGGAAUCCGCUAAGGAGUGUGUAACAACUCACCUGCCGAAUCGACCGGCCCCGAAAAUGGAUGGCGCUGGAGCGACGGACCGAUGCCGGACCGUCGCGGCGAGGAGCGCCUCAGACGCGCCAAACCGAUGCCGCGACGAGUAGGAGGGCGCCGCGGCGYGCACGGAAGCCUAGGGCGCGAGCCCGGGUGGAGCCGACCGCGGGUGCAGAUCUCGGUGGUAGUAGCAAAUAUUCGAACGAGACCUUCGAAGACCGAAGUGGAGAAGGGUUCCGUGCCAACGGCGGUCGAGCACGGGUCAGUCGGUCCUAAGACGCGGGCGAAAGUCUUCCCGAAAGGCGCCGGAUCCGUAAGUAACGUAGUUGUUCGACGAGGACUUUAAAAAACCCUCGUUGACACGCUUCWUUUAUGUCUACGAGCGGCCGGCCUCCCGUCGAAAGGGAAUCGGGUUAAUAUUCCCGAACCCGGACUCGGAGAGGGCCCGGGGGUGGCGACGCYGCUUCGGCRGCGACCGUCGCUUCUCGGGCGAAACCGCGGUGACGCAAGCGAGCCCGGAGACGUCGCCGGGAGCCCCGGGAAGAGUUCUCUCUUCUUCGUAAAGGACCAUGUCCGUGGAAUCGGCUCGUCCGG
rnacentral:rRNA from 1 species